UACGUAGGGUGCAAGCGUUGUCCGGAAUUAUUGGGCGUAAAGGGCUCGUAGGCGGUCUGUCACGUCGAAAGUGAAAACUCAGGGCUCAACCCUGAGCCUGCUUCCGAUACGGGCAGACUAGAGGUAUGCAGGGGAGAAUGGAAUUCCUGGUGUAGCGGUGAAAUGCGCAGAUAUCAGGAGGAACACCAGUGGCGAAGGCGGUUCUCUGGGCAUUACCUGACGCUGAGGAGCGAAAGUGUGGGGAGGCGAACAGG
rnacentral:rRNA from 1 species